rnacentral:lncRNA from 1 species
UCAGAGAUGCUCGUUGUAAAUGGAGACUAGAGAGAGAGGGCCCUUUUCGAGAAUCGAGCAAAAUGUAUCGAAUCGAAGUUAGGCGCCCGACAUUGACUCUCGAAUGGCCAACGUGGGGAGUCGACGAUCCUGUCGACGGACAAUGAGAUGAAAAAUAACGUGCUGGACCAGGUCGGGUUAAAGGCUUCGUUGCUUACAUACAAACCGGCCCCCUCCCUCCCUUUUCUAUCCCUCUCCUCCUCCUCUCUGUCUCUCCUUUUCGUUGUCCCUCGUCCCUCCCCGCCCUCGCCCCGGAUUCCGCUAAGUCAAUUCCACGUUGAGGAUACGAGGCAGAGGCGUCAGACGACCUGGGUGGUCCCCGUCCUACGCAAACAGAGUAUACAAGCGGAUACACGCUGGUUGAACAGGUAGUGCGCGCGAAAAUUUACCGACUUUCUGGAUUUUUCGAGCGCGUGAGGGUUGGAACAACGCCCCUUCUCUCUCUCUUUUUCUGUCCCUCAAAAAAAAAAAAUAUCACUGGCGUGGAAAACAAUUCGUGGAAACAACGAAUUUCGUUCGAAUGGAUGAACUUGGGACUUGUUUCGAGAUCUGGUUCUCGAGAGUCGCGAGAUUGUGAGGUUUAUUUUAUGGGGGUGGCUCGUAACGGGUUUACUCAGCGAUAUCGUGGUCGCAGGAAGUCUUUCUGUCAAUUUCAUGUUGCACGACGCGCGCUGGAAUUAAUCCGAAAUGUAUGAUUUGUAGGUAGUAGGUAGCUAUACGGUUGGAAUUGUCAAGUAGAAUGUUCUUUGUCUUUGGACGAAACAUCAAUUCGAGGAAUUCCUUCCAACAACAAGUCGUUUAUCUUAAUCCCAACAUGUCUCAAUAUCGUUACGAAACAACUAUUAGAAGCGUGAUAUCGCCGAAUCGAAUAAGAAUAAACGAAGAAACGAUCCGCAAAACUUCUCGCGGGUAUCAUGUCUCGGGACCACCAUCGAGCUCACCCGCGACGAGCACGUGAACCCAUACAUAAGCGUGCAACCGUCGUAUCUUCGACACGGCCCAACACUUAUAAAAGCAGGUAAUGCUAAUUCAAACAAAGUUAUCGUCCCAUAGAUAUAUAUAUACAUAUAUAUAUAUAUACAUUUAAUUCUUUUCUCAUUUACAUACGGGCGCGAUGGCGGCGCGCCACCUUCACAAUGACCCAUUGUCGAGGGGUCCUCUACUUGAAUGGGGGGACCAUCCAAGUCGCCAGGUCUUUCCAGUCGGUGAUAAUUCUCUUGGGUGAAAUUAGAAACGCCCUUUAACUUUCUUGGGCUACCAAGAUGUUUCGUACGUCUUUCUUUCCGGAUAUUUUGGAAAUCGGCGAAGAAUGCCGUCGUCCAGCUGCGUGAACGAUUUCGAGUUUAGCGCGAAACUUUUCCCUCCCAGUUUCUGGAAACUCUCUUCGGAGAGGAUCGUUCCUCGGAUUCUCGAUUUGACACGAGUUGAAAUAAAUAGAAGGAUCGUUCCGGGGAAAAGUCGAAUAUCGAAUUUGCGAUGGGUUCUGUGAAAGAAUUUUAUAUAACUUCACGUACGUGAAGAGAAAGAGAAACGAGUAUAGAAAAUUUUAUGAUCGUACACGAUGGAACGAAACGGCGUGAAGUUUGGAUUAUCUGCUGUACCCUCGUCAAAGUGGACUUCAAGAUUCAAUCCGAUAAGAGUUUCCAUGCUACGAUAAGUAUCUUGUGAAUACAAGGUUUACACCUCUGAAGGAGCAGUGAAGUAUACUUACACGAAGACCGCCUUGAACGAAACGCAACAAAUCGCCCGUAGUUGGAUUUACGACUUCGAUCCGUAUUAUUCGGGUUAACCACGGAGAUGUAUCGCGACGUGCCCUUGGUCGGUUCCUGGCCCUGACCAUAUCGCUUUUCGUCAUGGCCCGAGGUGUGUCUACGGACCACCGACGUCGUCGCAAUUAGUAAUUAUUUCAUAUCUAUUUCCAUGAUAAAAGAUGGAAUAAUUCGCGCGAUAUAUCGAUGAAGUAAAAUUUAUAUUACGUGCGUAAAACCACAAUGUAAUAAAUACCGAUCGCGGAAGCGGAAGAAUCGAAGAAGAAAUAGACAAAGUAAUAAUGUUUGAUUUUUAUGGUGUAAUUUUCAAUUGCAAAAAAGAAAAAAAAACAGAGUUACGUCAAUUCAAUAUAUCUGAUUUUACGUUCCACGCCGUUGCAGAAAUAUUCAGUUUUUAUUAAAGGAUUUUUCUAUAAAUGUUUUACGAUAUGGAAGGAUUACUAUCUUUGGAGGAUUAUUAAUCGUAUAAAAAAAUAAACUUGUCACUUGUUUCUCCUCUCGAACAAAGAGCCGUCUUGUUGAACGGCCAAGAAAGAAAUAAGCAUUCACGUUCCACACUUCGCUCCAAAAAAAAAAAAGGAAAAAAAAUUAUCUCUUCAAAUAAAAGAGACAGUUCAA